GGCAGACAUCUUGGAUCUUCCCAGGAAGUAGCAUACAGUCAUUGCUGCUGUUGCAGGACACAUAGCUCCUGUCAUCUCAGUGAAAGGAGUGGGUGGAGGUGGACCAGGGACACAGCAGUGGACAUGUGGAGUGCAUCUUCUCUUCUUUGGCCUCAGUGCGACUCAUCCUGCAGCUCUGCAUACUACAGCUCCUGUUGCCAUGACUCCCCACCAUGAUGGACUGCACCCUUGAAGAUGCUGACCUGUCUGAGGCAAUCCUGUGAUCAAACACCAUACUUCAAAAAAUCAUCACGUUAUUCUUUGAAGCUCAGGCUCAUGGUCUUCCAACACAAUUAAUUGGAAUAACAGCACAAAAGAUGACUAAAAGUGAAGAAAAUCCCAGUGAUAUUAGAAGACCUUCAUCUUCUUUGGGGCAUAAAGCAACAAGUGCAACUUUGUUUCUGAUUCAUCUCCCCACAUCAGCAAGAGAACAAUCAUCAGUAUUUACUAUGUACCAGGCUCUAAUCUGGGUAUUCACAGCUCUCCAGGCGCCCUCUCUAGAGGAGCAUGGAGUGCCAGCUCUCUCCAUCAGCUCUGUGGUAAGGUGGGCCAGCAAGGAGGAGAAACAGCAGAUGUCCAUGACAAGCAUCACCUGCCAUACUCAGGUGCUAUCUUCCCUGGUCUCUCACCACUGUUGCUACGUGCUUGCUUUUCUGAGCUCAAAUGCACCAGGUUUUAAAUGUCUUCAGGCACAGAACUAAUUAUCACAUCUUUUUGAGUCUCAUUCCUCAGGGACUCGAAAGCUGACACACUGACAGGCAUCCAUCACACUACCUACAUUCUCCACACCAGCAAGGGUCUGCCUUAAUGGACCACUAGGUUUUCAAGGCAAGAAGACUGUAUGAAGAUGUUUUCAGCUGGGGGAUGAGAUGGAAAUACUAUUGCAGCAGAGCCUACUGAUGCCUCAUGAGCUUCACCUGUAUGGCAGGGCAAAUUUCUUCUGGGAACCACAGAAUCAGAUUUUCCUGCCUGAAUUUAAAUCCCAUGAUCUCUCUUCUUCUUCCACAUUUUACCAAGGGAUCAGUCCCUAAGCAAGAUAUUUUCUUCUGCAUUAGCGUGGACCUUAGCGACUAGACCUUCAUUAGUCACCACCUAAAAGGAACUCAUGAAUCUGCCACUAGUCCAUUUGAGAAUAUGAUAAAUGACAUUAUUUUAUCAUCA
rnacentral:lncRNA from 1 species